CGAUGGUAGGAUAGAGGCCUACCAUGGUUUUGACGGGUAACGGGGAAUAAGGGUUCGAUUCCGGAGAGGGAGCCUGAGAAACGGUACCACAUCCACGGAAGGCAGCAGGCGCGCAAAUUACCCAAUCCCGACACGGGGAGGUAGUGACAAUAAAUAACAAUAUAGGGCCCUUUCGGGUCUUAUAAUUGGAAUGAGUACAAUUUAAAUCCGUUAACGAGGAACAAUUGGAGGGCAAGUCUGGUGCCAGCAGCCGCGGUAAUUCCAGCUCCAAUAGCGUAUAUUAAAGUUGUUGCAGUUAAAAAGCUCGUAGUUGAACUUCAGACCUGGCCGGGCGGUCCGCCUAACGGUGUGUACUGUCUGGCCGGGCCUUACCUCUUGGUGAGCCGGCAUGCCCUUCACUGGGUGCGUCGGGGAACCAGGACCUUUACCUUGAGAAAAUUAGAGUGUUCAAAGCAGGCUUACGCCGGAAUACAUUAGCAUGGAAUAAUAAAAUAGGACGUGCGGUUCUAUUUUGGUGGGUUUCUAGAGUCGCCGUAAUGAUUAAUAGGGAUAGUUGGGGGGCAUUUGUAUUUGCGUUGUAGAGGUGAAAUUCUUGGAUUUACGCAA
rnacentral:rRNA from 1 species